rnacentral:rRNA from 1 species
UACGGAGGAUGCGAGCGUUAUCCGGAUUUAUUGGGUUUAAAGGGUGCGUAGGCGGCUUUUUAAGUCAGCGGUGAAAUUUUGCAGCUUAACUGUAACAGUGCCGUUGAUACUGGGGAGCUAGGAUUUGGUUGUAGUGUGCGGAAUGUGUGGUGUAGCGGUGAAAUGCUUAGAUAUCACACAGAACACCGAUUGCGAAGGCAGCACACUAAGUCAUUAUUGACGCUGAGGCACGAAAGUGUGGGGAUCAAACAGGAUUA